rnacentral:piRNA from 1 species
UNGUUAUGAGAGUUAAUUUGCUGCUUACC